CCAGACUCCUACGGGAGGCAGCAGUGGGGAAUAUUGCACAAUGGGCGAAAGCCUGAUGCAGCAACGCCGCGUGAGUGAUGAAGGCCUUCGGGUCGUAAAACUCUGUCCUCAAGGAAGAUAAUGACGGUACUUGAGGAGGAAGCCCCGGCUAACUACGUGCCAGCAGCCGCGGUAAUACGUAGGGGGCAAGCGUUAUCCGGAUUUACUGGGUGUAAAGGGAGCGUAGACGGCAGCGCAAGUCUGGAGUGAAAUGCCGGGGCCCAACCCCGGAACUGCUCUGGAAACUGUGAAGCUGGAGUGCAGGAGAGGUAAGCGGAAUUCCCGGUGUAGCGGUGAAAUGCGUAGAUAUCAGGAGGAACACCGGCGGCGAAGGCGGCUUACUGGACUGUAACUGACGUUGAGGCUCGACGGCGUGGGGAGCAAACAGGAUUAGAUACCCUCGUA
rnacentral:rRNA from 1 species